UACGGAGGGAGCUAGCGUUGUUCGGAAUUACUGGGCGUAAAGCGCACGUAGGCGGCUUUGUAAGUUAGAGGUGAAAGCCCGGGGCUCAACUCCGGAAUUGCCUUUAAGACUGCAUCGCUAGAAUUGUGGAGAGGUAAGUGGAAUUCCGAGUGUAGAGGUGAAAUUCGUAGAUAUUCGGAAGAACACCAGUGGCGAAGGCGACUUACUGGACACAUAUUGACGCUGAGGUGCGAAAGCGUGGGGGAGCAAACAGG
rnacentral:rRNA from 1 species